GGUUUGCUCUGCUGAUGGCUCGCAAUUUCUUCUCACACCAACGCAGGGCACGACCAGAGGAAGGUUACCUUGGCGCCUCAGCAUCGGGUUUGUCAGACUGCCGACGGUUCCUUAGAUUUGUCAGACUGCCGACGGUGAACACCUGGAUUAACUCUGCGCUCCAUUGGGAUUGCUGGAAAGUGACUACGCUCGCCAAUUAACACGGAGAUCAACUGUAUCGGCAAUGUUUUGUUAACUUGCAAUAGGUUCGGGUUGCAAUUGACCUGGUUCUCGCAUGAAGUUCUAGUAAUUUUUUAAAAUUAAACCAAAGUGUCUCCUCUUUGUUUGACUUUACUCCCAAACUGCAAUACUUGUUUCCAAUGUGAGUUUUGUGUCAAACUUUUGUGAAGUACAUGUACGAAUUUGCCGUAGUAUGUUAUUGAUCCUUAAAUGUUGUUGAUCCUUAAAUGUUUAUGUAUUGCAUGCAUUCAAUUUUAACAAUAACACAUUUGAAUGUUUAGGUGACAGUUGACUUAAGGAAUAAAAAUUUACAGCACCUGGAGUGGAAGCUUAAUUAGCUAAUGAAAACGGGUGACAACGGUAUGUGUGGAGAAGAAAGUGAGAAAUCUAAAUGUCCUAAACCUAUCGCAGAGCAUUUACAAUAAAAAUCUUCUAAGGUCGAAAAGCCAAUGCUACAGAUGGACAUCGAUGGUGCUUUUAGGAUCAGAGGAACGGAAAAGGGUUGUGACGCGGCUCGCUUAAAGUAACAGCAGUGCCGACGUUAGUGGACGAGCCGGGCAGGAUUGAUUGUGGUGGCAGUAUGUGGUAGAUUUUGCCGUCGUAGUAAUAAGUUACAUAAUGCUGUGGUUGUAUUGAUUACAUGCAUUCAUCCUAUUUUUAGUUAUUACCGUUGCUGCUGCUGUCAAUGAUACUCCUACCACGAAAAGACACUCCUACCACGGUAAGACUAGAACAA